UACAGAGGUCUCGAGCGUUAGGCGGAAUCACUGGGCUUAAAGCGUGUGUAGGCGGAUCGUUAAAGUACCUUGUGAAAUCCCACGGCUUAACCGUGGAACUGCUGGGUAUACUGGCGGUCUUGAGCAACCUAAGGGCGAGCGGAACAGACGGUGGAGCGGUGAAAUGCGUAGAUAUCGAUCUGGAACGCCAAUGGUGAAAACAGCUCGCUGGGGGUUGCUGACG
rnacentral:rRNA from 1 species